rnacentral:rRNA from 1 species
GACGAACGCUGGCGGCAUGCCUAACACAUGCAAGUCGAACGAGCUCUUCGGGUCUAGUGGCGCACGGGUGCGUAACGCGUGGGAAUCUGCCCUUUGGUUCGGAACAACAGUUGGAACCGACUGCUAAUACCGGAUGAUGACGAAAGUCCAAAGAUUUAUCGCCAGAGGAUGAGCCCGCGUAGGAUUAGCUAGUUGGUGUGGUAAAGGCGCACCAAGGCGACGAUCCUUAGCUGGUCUGAGAGGAUGGUCAGCCACACUGGGACUGAGACACGGCCCAGACUCCUACGGGAGGCAGCAGUGGGGAAUAUUGGACAAUGGGCGAAAGCCUGAUCCAGCAAUGCCGCGUGAGUGAUGAAGGCCUUAGGGUUGUAAAGCUCUUUUACCCGGGAUGAUAAUGACAGUACCGGGAGAAUAAGCUCCGGCUAACUCCGUGCCAGCCGCCGCAGUAA